UUGGUGCAGGGGAGGGUGUGUAUUUCAUGGGAAGGUGCAGCUAAAACGGUUUUGGUCCCGAUGGACCUCCUAUGACCUUCGCUGGCGCUGUAAAUAAUUAAUAUCCAUUCAUUCAGACAGAUAUGCAGAACGGAAACCCAAUACAAGCAACUGCAGGCGCUACUACUGCAAUUGUUUUGCAACAUUUUAUUAUCAUCGCUUCAAAGAAUGUGUGGAAAUGAGCUAACAGCUUGUUUUUGAGCGCGCUCAGUGCGGCCCUCACUUCCAACUUCAGGCCAGAGGGGUGGUAACCAUAGCUACCUGGUCCUAUAGAACCCUGACAAAGAGGAAACACAACAAAAGCAUGGCAUGGCCCACCCUGCCUCUCUUCCGCCCAGCCCCCUGACACACUCCCCUGUUCCGACCCACUCGUACUCUGAAAGAGAGGAACAGAGGGAGGGAUCAGGGAUGGAGGGAUGACAUGGGAGGAGGGAAGAGUUCAGCGAUCCUCAGGCUCAGGUCUUCCCAGUGCAUGAUGGGUAGGUCCUGGUCGUCCUCGGAGGACUCUCCAUUCUGAUGAAGUCGCCCUGCCCCUUCCCCAGCAAACGGCUGUGUCUCAUCACUCUCCUUCUCC